rnacentral:rRNA from 1 species
UACGAAGGGGGCUAGCGUUGCUCGGAAUCACUGGGCGUAAAGGGUGCGUAGGCGGGUUUUUAAGUCAGGGGUGAAAUCCUGGAGCUCAACUCCAGAACUGCCUUUGAUACUGAAGAUCUUGAGUCCGGGAGAGGUGAGUGAAACUGCGAGUGUAGAGGUGAAAUUCGUAGAUAUUCGCAAGAACACCAGUGGCGAAGGCGGCUCACUGGCCCGGUACUGACGCUGAGGCACGAAAGCGUGGGGAGCAAACAGG